rnacentral:rRNA from 1 species
GACAGAGGGUGCAAACGUUGCUCGGAAUCACUGGGCGUAAAGGGCGUGUAGGCGGGAAGGAAAGUCGGGCGUGAAAUCCCUGGGCUCAACCCCAGGAACUGCACUUCGAAACUUCUUUUUCUUGAGUGCCGGAGAGGAAAGCGGGAAUACCUGGUGUAGAGGUGAAAAUUCGUAGAUAUCAGGUGGAACACCAGUGGCGAAAGGCGGCU